rnacentral:rRNA from 1 species
GACGAACGCUGGCGGCGUGCUUAACACAUGCAAGUCGAACGGAAAGGCCCUGCUUUUGUGGGGUGCUCGAGUGGCGAACGGGUGAGUAACACGUGAGUAACCUGCCCUUGACUUUGGGAUAACUUCAGGAAACUGGGGCUAAUACCGGAUAGGAGCUCCUGCUGCAUGGUGGGGGUUGGAAAGUUUCGGCGGUUGGGGAUGGACUCGCGGCUUAUCAGCUUGUUGGUGGGGUAGUGGCUUACCAAGGCUUUGACGGGUAGCCGGCCUGAGAGGGUGACCGGCCCAAUGGGAAUGAGAAACGGGCCCGACUCCUCCGGGAGGGAGGAGGGGGGGAUAUUGCCCAAAGGGGGGAAGCCCGAAGGAGGGAAGCCGCGUGGGGGAUGACGGGCUUCGGGGUGUAAACCCCUUUUCGCCGGGAAGGAGGGGGAGGGAAGGGAAAUGGGGAAAAAGGGCCGGCCAAAUACGGG